UUAUGACCAUAUCACAUUGAAACAUCAGUUCCCAUAAGAUAACCAAAGUUAAGCAAUGCCAAGCCUAGUUACUACCUAAAUGGGUGACGGCUUGGAAAUAUCAGGUGUUGUAAG